ACGGGGAAGGAUGAGAAGCUUCGACUAAGGUUCGACUCGAGCGAAGCGAGAGAACGUUGCCGCAGGCAACGGCCCGAAGGGCGAGGCGCUUUAGCGCCGAGUAAUCCUUCCCCCACCACCA
rnacentral:sRNA from 2 species